rnacentral:lncRNA from 1 species
UACUAUCUGUGUGCUCCUGGGCAAUUGUUUAACCUCUAGGAACCUCACUGAUAAAAUGAAAAUGAUAUCUACUUCUGUGGUUCUUAACCAACUCAAAACAUGAAAGGAAGAGGACUCCAAAGCCUCUGAGAUUGGCAGCAUCGAAAAAUGGGAGAAAACUGAGUUCCCGAAUCCUUGCCUGGCAGAAAGCCACCUACUGACUGAGACCAUUCUCGUUGGAUUAUUAUGCUUGGCACACUGGCAUCUGAAGAGAUGACAGAUACAAACAGGAGAUACAAAUAGGAGACGACACUUUUACCUCAACCACUACAGCCCCAGAAGGAACCCAAGGUGGCCCCCUGGACCUUUUCCUGAAGCAACAUGGGGAGAAGCAAGCUGUCUUCAGAGAGAUAUAAGUAUAGCUUUUAUUUUUUUUUUUUAAACCAACCCAACAUUUCCACUGGCAACUGUCAACAUAGCUUAUGACAUGAACACAGUUUCUUUUUCAGUUAUUUGUUUUCUUAAAAAAUGUGUUUAAAAUUAAACAGGUGUUUUUCAUUUCUUCUUUUCCCUUAAAAAAUGUAUUUAUGUCAAUGCAGAAAGCCUAAAGAUCUGUGGGCAGUCUUUCGGUGAUGAUGUGUGUGUUUUAAAGCCAGGUCCUUUCAAAAUUUGUUGGGAAAAGGUCUGUAGGGCAUGGCAAUCUCUCUAUAAAUCCAGGCUCCAUGGAAUUAUGGCAGCUAAGAUUCCUCCUACUGGGGCAAGAAAUAGCCCACAGGCUGGAAAAAAGAGCUUCAAGAGGUUUAAAACCAAGCAGGAAUGUGGGAGAGAUGAGGAAUUCUAAUCCCUGUCCUGUGAAAAUGCUUUCAAACAUGACCCGAGUCCAGGAGACAUGAAGUCCCUCAUUUUCUUAUAAACUUCUAAGUUUUUGCAGGAAAUCAAGAAAUACAGUCAAAGCUCUUAGUCUGGUGCAUUAGGAAGUGAGGGAGUGGUGAAGCUGACAUCUCUCAGAAUCAGACAUUUUCAAUAUAAUCUUUUCCCGACAGAUCCCACUAGGUGGACAUCGCUUCUCUCCUGCCUCAGAUACAAAGCCAGAGAUGU